UACGUAGGGGGCAAGCGUUGUCCGGAAUCAUUGGGCGUAAAGAGCGUGUAGGCGGCCCGGUAAGUCCGUUGUGAAAGUCCAGGGCUCAACCCUGGAAUGCCGAUGGAUACUGCCGGGCUAGAGGUCGGAAGAGGCGAGUGGAAUUCCUGGUGUAGCGGUGGAAUGCGCAGAUAUCAGGAGGAACACCUAUAGCGAAGGCAGCUCGCUGGGACGACACUGACGCUGAGACGCGAAAGCGUGGGGAGCGAACAGG
rnacentral:rRNA from 1 species